CGCGUAGGCGGAUGAUUAAGUCAGAUGUGAAAGCCCAGGGCUUAACCUUGGAACUGCAUUUGAUACUGGUCAUCUAGAGUACAGUAGAGGGGGUGGAAUUCCAGGUGUAGCGGUGAAAUGCGUAGAGAUCUGGAGGAACAUCAGUGGCGAAGGCGACCCCUGGACUGAUACUGACGCUGAGGUGCGAAAGCGUGGGUAGCGAACA
rnacentral:rRNA from 1 species